rnacentral:rRNA from 1 species
UGGGGAAUAUUGGACAAUGGGCGAAAGCCUGAUCCAGCCAUGCCGCGUGUGUGAAGAAGGUCUUCGGAUUGUAAAGCACUUUAAGUUGGGAGGAAGGGCAGUAAGCGAAUACCUUGCUGUUUUGACGUUACCGACAGAAUAAGCACCGGCUAACUCUGUGCCAGCAGCCGCGGUAAUACAGAGGGUGCAAGCGUUAAUCGGAUUUACUGGGCGUAAAGCGCGCGUAGGCGGCUAAUUAAGUCAAAUGUGAAAUCCCCGAGCUUAACUUGGGAAUCGCAUUCGAUACUGGUUAGCUAGAGUGUGGGAGAGGAUGGUAGAAUUCCAGGUGUAGCGGUGAAAUGCGUAGAGAUCUGGAGGAAUACCGAUGGCGAAGGCAGCCAUCUGGCCUAACACUGACGCUGAGGUGCGAAAGCAUGGGGAGCAAACAGG